GACAUGCAAAAUAUCUCUGCAACACUAAGCACUUCUUAAGCCAGCAUCAAAGGCCCAACCCCAUAAGGAAUAUAUCACAGCAUCACAGCAAACAUCUGGAAAAGGGGUGGUGUCCCAGCACCAUUGCGGAGAGAGCUGAGGAUGGGGGCUGAGUCCUACCUUGGAUUCAGGCUUGCCGUGGGAUCCAGAGGAUCUCUUGGCAUCUCUGGUCUUGGUGCCCUCCUCUAAGGAGUAGUGUGUACUCUGCGGAGGCCAUGGAAUCAGUGAAGACCUGUCAGCUUGAGGGAUCAUUUAGAAGGACUCAGGAAAUGGAGGCAUGAGGGUCAGGAAUUCAAAGUCAUCUUUGGCUGUGUAAUGAGAUUGAAGUAAACCUCCCUCGAGAAGAAAAAUGAGGAAGAAAAAGGAGGAGGAAGAAAGAAAGAAAGAAGCAGAUAAAUAAAUAAAGACAGGUGGGUGACUACAGGUCACAUUGCAAGGAUGAAUCGAGUCGUCCGGGGGCAAGGCCUAGAGUGUCAUGAAGACCAAGGUGCAUCCUCCAUGCACGGUGUAGCUGAGAAGGAGGACCUGGCAGGGCUCUGUGACUGGGAAACAGCUGAGUUCCUUCCUGUUUCUGCUGCAAACCAGGGCAAAGCCAGCUGAACCUAGCCUUUUGCAGCAGGGACUUCCUGCUGGACUGAUCUUCUGAGACAAAGUGUGACCCUUGGUCUCUUCCAAUGGAUGAUGGAACGCCAUCUCAUCCUCUGACCAGAGGAUCAAAGACUGCCCCAAAAGUCCCAUACUGGAUCCAUGUGUUGCACCCUAGGCUGGAGCAGAUAAAAUGGAUCAGGAAGGGACAACAGCUCUGCCAGCUCCCAGCCAUAAUGCUGUCCCCAAUGGCUUCAGUGACAGAGGCAGC
rnacentral:lncRNA from 1 species